rnacentral:rRNA from 1 species
UAAUACUGGAUAGAGCGACGGAAUCCGUAAUUGGGUUUUUCGGGAAAGGGAGCUCGUAAGAGCCCUCACUUUGAGAUGAGCCUGCGUCUCAUUAGCUAGUUGGUAGGGUAAUGGCCUACCAAGGCUUUGAUGGGUAGCUGGUCUGAGAGGAUGAUCAGCCACACUGGAACUGAAACACGGUCCAGACUCCUACGGGAGGCAGCAGUGGGGAAUUUUGCGCAAUGGACGAAAGUCUGACGCAGCAACGCCGCGUGAGUGAAGAAGGCCUGCGGGUUGUAAAGCUCUGUCGAGCGGGACGAAAAACUUAUGGGUUAACAGCCCAUGAGCUUGACGGUACCGCUAAAGGAAGCACCGGCUAACUCCGUGCCAGCAGCCGCGGUAAUACGGAGGGCGCUAGCGUUGCUCGGAAUUAUUGGGCGUAAAGGGUAGGUAGGUGGUCUCGUUUUGUCUUAGGUGAAAGCCCAGAGCUUAACUCUGGAAGUGCCUAAGAAACGGCGAGACUGGAGUCCUGGAGAGGGUCGUGGAAUUCCCGGUGUAGCGGUGAAAUGCGUAGAGAUCGGGAGGAACACCAGAGGCGAAGGCGGCGACCCUGGACGGGCACUGACACUCAACUACGAAAGCGUGGGGAGCAAACAGGAUUAGAUACCCUGGUAGUCCACGCUGUAAACGAUGGGUACUAGGUUUGGUGGGUCUUGACCCCUGCUGAGCCGGCGCUAACGCAAUAAGUACCCCGCCUGGGGAGUACGGUCGCAAGACUAAAACUCAAAGGAAUUGACGGGGGCCCGCACAAGCGGUGGAUCAUGUGGUUUAAUUCGAAGCAACGCGAAGAACCUUACCUGGAUUUGACAUCCUCUGACCGUUACAGAGAUGUAAUUUUCGUAGCAAUACGACAGAGAGACAGGUGCUGCAUGGCUGUCGUCAGCUCGUGUGGUGACAUGUUGGGUUAAGUCCCGCAACGAGCGCAACCCUUGUCUUUAGUUGCCAGCAUUCAGUUGGGCACUCUAGAGAGACUGCCGUGGUUAACACGGAGGAAGGUGGGGAUGACGUCAAGUCCUCAUGGCCCUUACAUCCAGGGCGACACACGUGAUACAAUGGUCGGUACAAAGGGCAGCGAAAGGGCAACCUGGAGCUAAUCUCAAAAAACCGAGCUCAGUUCGGAUUGGAGUCUGCAAUUCGACUCCA